rnacentral:rRNA from 1 species
CAUAAUCACUUGUUCUUUAAAUGAGGACUCGUAUCAAUGGCACCACGAGGACUUUACUGUCUCCUUUUUCUAAUCAGUGAAACUAAUCUUCCCGUGAAGAAGCGGGAAUAAAUAGAUAAGACGAGAAGACCCCAUGGAGCUUUAAGCUUACUGCACCUCUAUUUUCUAUAACCUCUUAUUAAACGGAAUACUGCUUACUUAGCUUUAGGUUGGGGUGACCGCGGAGUAUAACAUAACCUCCAUGAUGAACAAAACUAUUUUCUUAUCUAAGAACAACAGUUCUAAGAAUUAGUAUUCUAACAUAAAAUGAUCCGAUAAUCGAUCAACGGACUAAGUUACCCUGGGGAUAACAGCGCAAUCCAUUUCAAGAGCCCCUAUCGACAAAUGGGUUUACGACCUCGAUGUUGGAUCAGGAUAUCCUAGUGGUGCAGCAGCUACUGAAGGUUCGUUUGUUCAACGAUUAAAAUCCU